GAUGAACGCUGGCGGCGUGCCUAAUACAUGCAAGUCGAGCGAACGGACGAGAAGCUUGCUUCUCUGAUGUUAGCGGCGGACGGGUGAGUAACACGUGGAUAACCUACCUAUAAGACUGGGAUAACUUCGGGAAACCGGAGCUAAUACCGGAUGAUAUUUUGAACCGCAUGGUUCAAAAGUGAAAGACGGUCUUGCUGUCACUUAUAGAUGGAUCCGCGCUGCAUUAGCUAGUUGGUAAGGUAACGGCUUACCAAGGCAACGAUGCAUAGCCGACCUGAGAGGGUGAUCGGCCACCCUGGACCUGAGACCCGGCCCAGCCCCCUACGGGGGGCCGCAGUGGGGAAUCUUCCGCAAUGGGCGAAAGCCUGACGGGGCAACGCCGCGGGGGUGAUGAAGGCCUUCGGUUCGUAAACCUCUUUUUUUAGGGAAGAAAAUAUUUGUAAGUAACUGUGCCCAUUUUGACGGUACCUAAUCAAAAAGCCCCGGCUAACUCCGU
rnacentral:rRNA from 1 species